UUCUUCUUUGUAAUAUCUGCCAACUAUUUUUUUUUAAUUUUAACCUUUUAGCAUUAGAAGUUGUUUUAUUCGAACUAAUAGUUAUCUUUGAAGUGAAAAUCUCCUUUUUCUUUUCUUUUUUAAUUUGCGUUCUGAUUGUCUUUGUUUUAGCGUUCAGAUUUUCAAUUUUAUUUUCUGUCAAUGAAGAAGAAUGUGUUAAAUUAAUAGAUUUAAUUAAAACGGGUGAUUCAAAAAUCAUUGA
rnacentral:lncRNA from 1 species